UGAUGCAUGGCCGUCGUCAGUUCGUGAUUUGAAUUGUUCCCUUAAGUGGGGUAACGAACGCAACCCUCGUUGUCUGUUACAAGUGUCAGGCGAGACUGCUCAGCUCUUUGAGCACGAGCGGACUUAAAGUAAUAGAAACGAGAUGAAACGAUAUCUAUAAAAAUAAGAAGUAGAAAGUAGAAGAAGGAAAUUGAUUCGGGACGUCCCGUUUCUGUCACUUUAUGUUCGUUCGCGAAUAAAGAGCUGAGAGGAAGGUGAGGAUGACGCCAGGUCAGCAUGUCCCUCUGAUACCUUGGGCUACACACAUAAUACAAUGGCGACUACAACGGGUCGCGACGGGGAAACCCUGAGCUAAUCCUAAUAAAAGUCGCCCCAGUUCAGAUUGAGGGCUGAAACUCGACCUCAUGAAGUUGGAAUUGCUAGUAAUCGCGGGUCAGCUAUACCGCGGUGAAUACGUUCUCAAGUCUUGUACUCACCGCCCGUCAACUCAAGGGAACCGGGAAUACCCGAAGGCCAGUGUAUACUGGACCACGGUAAAUUCGGUAACAGGGAGUAAGUCGUAACAAGGCACGGGUAGCGGAAGCUGCUCGUGGAUUAAUUCAAUU
rnacentral:ncRNA from 1 species